UACCAGCACCCCGAGUGGUCGGGACGUUUAUUGGGCCCAAAGCAUCCGUAGCCGGUUCUACAAGUCUUCCGUUAAAUCCAACUGCUUAACAGGUGGGCUGCGGAAGAUACUAUAGAGCUAGGAGGCGGGAGAGGCAAGCGGUACUCAGUGGGUAGGGGUAAAAUCCUCUGAUCCAUUGAAGACCACCAGUGGCGAAGGCGGCUUGCCAGAACGCGCUCGACGGUGAGGGAUGAAAGCUGGGGGAGCAAACCGG
rnacentral:rRNA from 1 species